GCCAUUGAGGUACCCACACUG
rnacentral:misc_RNA from 1 species